CUUUGUGUGAGGGGGAAUAUCUUUCUUCCCCCUCCCCUUUGAUUUGGGAAUGUAGCAACCCCAUAUCGAGUAAUCCUCUGAAAUCGGUGCUGGGAAGAGCAGUCCAUGGGAGGGCCCAGAAGGAAGCCACAAGAAAGACAGGCCCCUUGCUUCCUUUUCCCUGGAAGACAACUAAGAUCAUUGAUCAAAAAGGAGUCCAGCAGUCUUCUUGACCAGAGGAAACUUGUAGUGAUGGAGAGCUUACUUAGGGAUAAGAUCUGGAAGAAGGGAGCUCAUCUCCUGAAGACAUGAGCAGAUGAAAAAGAAUAGAGCUAUAUCUGGGAUACAACCUGGCAAGGCCCCAAAUAUUGGCUGACUGCUUGGGCCAAAGUGACA